GUCUGAUUGAGAUUUUAACACGAAGUGAGUGGCGAACGGGUGAGUAACACGUGGGUAACCUGCCCAGAAGUAGGGGAUAACACCUGGAAACAGAUGCUAAUACCGUAUAACAGAGAAAACCGCAUGGUUUUCUUUUAAAAGAUGGCUCUGCUAUCACUUCUGGAUGGACCCGCGGCGUAUUAGCUAGUUGGUGAGGUAAAGGCUCACCAAGGCAGUGAUACGUAGCCGACCUGAGAGGGUAAUCGGCCACAUUGGGACUGAGACACGGCCCAGACUCCUACGGGAGGCAGCAGUAGGGAAUCUUCCACAAUGGACGCAAGUCUGAUGGAGCAACGCCGCGUGAGUGAAGAAGGGUUUCGGCUCGUAAAGCUCUGUUGUUAAAGAAGAACGUGGGUAAGAGUAACUGUUUACCCAGUGACGGUAUUUAACCAGAAAGCCACGGCUAACUACGUGCCAGCAGCCGCGGUAAUACGUAGGUGGCAAGCGUUAUCCGGAUUUAUUGGGCGUAAAGCGAGCGCAGGCGGUCUUUUAAGUCUAAUGUGAAAGCCUUCGGCUCAACCGAAGAAGUGCAUUGGAAACUGGGAGACUUGAGUGCAGAAGAGGACAGUGGAACUCCAUGUGUAGCGGUGAAAUGCGUAGAUAUAUGGAAGAACACCAGUGGCGAAGGCGGCUGUCUGGUCUGCAACUGACGCUGAGGCUCGAAAGCAUGGGUAGCGAACAGGAUUAGAUACCCUGGUAGUCCAUGCCGUAAACGAUGAUUACUAAGUGUUGGAGGGUUUCCGCCCUUCAGUGCUGCAGCUAACGCAUUAAGUAAUCCGCCUGGGGAGUACGACCGCAAGGUUGAAACUCAAAAGAAUUGACGGGGGCCCGCACAAGCGGUGGAGCAUGUGGUUUAAUUCGAAGCUACGCGAAGAACCUUACCAGGUCUUGACAUCUUCUGACAGUCUAAGAGAUUAGAGGUUCCCUUCGGGGACAGAAUGACAGGUGGUGCAUGGUUGUCGUCAGCUCGUGUCGUGAGAUGUUGGGUUAAGUCCCGCAACGAGCGCAACCCUUAUUACUAGUUGCCAGCAUUAAGUUGGGCACUCUAGUGAGACUGCCGGUGACAAACCGGAGGAAGGUGGGGACGACGUCAAAUCAUCAUGCCCCUUAUGACCUGGGCUACACACGUGCUACAAUGGAUGGUACAACGAGUCGCGAGACCGCGAGGUUAAGCUAAUCUCUUAAAACCAUUCUCAGUUCGGACUGUAGGCUGCAACUCGCCUACACGAAGUCGGAAUCGCUAGUAAUCGCGGAUCAGCAUGCCGCGGUGAAUACGUUCCCGGGCCUUGUACACACCGCCCGUCACACCAUGAGAGUUUGUAACACCCAAAGCCGGU
rnacentral:rRNA from 1 species